GCGGAGGAAAAGAAACUAACAAGGAUUCCCCUAGUAACUGCGAGUGAAGCGGGAAAAGCUCAAAUUUAAAAUCUGGUGGUCUUUGGCCAUCCGAGUUGUAAUCUAGAGAAGUGYUAUCCGCGCUGGACCGUGUACAAGUCCCCUGGAAUGGGGCGUCAUAGAGGGUGAGAAUCCCGUCUUUGACACGGACUACCAGGGCUUUGUGAUGCACUCUCAAAGAGUCGAGUUGUUUGGGAAUGCAGCUCAAAAUGGGUGGUAAAUUCCAUCUAAAGCUAAAUAUUGGCGAGAGACCGAUAGCGAACAAGUACCGUGAGGGAAAGAUGAAAAGAACUUUGGAAAGAGAGUUAAACAGUACGUGAAAUUGUUGAAAGGGAAACGCUUGAAGUCAGUCGCGUCAGCCAGGGAUCAACCUUACUUUUGUGAGGCGUACUUCCURRUUGAUGGGUCAGCAUCAGUUUUGGCUGCUGGAUAAAGGUCAGAGAAAUGUGGCACCUCCGGGUGUGUUAUAGUCUCUGAUCAGAUACAGUGGCUGGGACUGAGGAACUCAGCACGCCGCAAGGCCGGGGUUCGCCCACGUUCGUGCUUAGGAUGCUGGCAAAAUGGCUUUAAUCGACCCGUCUUGAAACACGG
rnacentral:rRNA from 1 species